UCAACGGCCGCGGUAUUUUAACCGUGCAAAGGUAGCGAAAUCACUUGUCUUUUAAAUGAAGACCAGUAUGAAAGGCAACACGAGGGCUUGACUGUCUCCCCUUUCAAGUCAAUGAAAUUGAUCUUCCCGUGCAGAAGCGGGAAUUCCUCCAUAAGACGAGAAGACCCUAUGGAGCUUUAGACACCAAGGCAGGCCACGUCAAAACUCCCUUAAAAAGGACCAAACUAGUGUACCCUGGUCCCGAUGUCUUUGGUUGGGGCGACCGCGGGGAAGCACAUAACCCCCGCGUGGAAUGGAAGCACUCUCCUACAAAUGAGAGCUCCCACUCUAGUGAACAGAAUUUCUGACCUACAAGAUCCGGCAACGCCGAUUAACGAACCGAGUUACCCUAGGGAUAACAGCGCAAUCCUCUCUUAGAGCCCAUAUCGACGAGAGGGUUUACGACCUCGAUGUUGGAUCAGGGCAUCCUAAU
rnacentral:rRNA from 1 species